GGGACACGAGGUCUCUCUCGGUCUUGGCUCUUGGCUCUGGGCUCUCUCUGGCUCUCUCGAUGUAAAAAUGUAAGAAUGUAAGGAAGUCCAGCAAUUACCAUCUGCUGUUGAAACAUUCAUUAUCCAGUAACAUCCUUUGUUGUUUUAUUAUGUAUCUGUAACUAAGAAUAAACCUGAAGAAACCGUAAGUCAGAUUGCGUAUUAGUACUUUUCAAUAAUAUAGACAUAUAUUAUUGUGGCGAGCAUUUGGCCCAAGACUAUAUAUACAAAAGAUGUAUAUAUAUAUCAAUCAACUGAAGACAAGAAGAAAUUAAGAAGAUUUAAUAGUGACGAUCGUUCCAACCAGAUUUUACAUUGGCCAGCCAGCCAGCCAGUCUUCUAUUCAAGUUUUGUUCCCCCUUCAAGGGGGGGAGAGAGAAGAAUCAAGUUACAAAGCUAUUUUGGAACUGGGAAAACAAACUUGAAGAGAAAAAAAGAAUCUAGACUGACUAUCAUAAAAGAACUGUGGUUUGUAAGAAAAAGAAAGUUUUCAAAUCACAAAGACUGUACAAGACUAUUUUCUACAACUGAGACAAAAAGCACAAGAUCCAACAUGAAUUCUAGAAGCAAGCACGUGGCAGAGAUUGGCAAUCAUCCAGAUCCAAGCCCAGAACUGCGCAGCUGUGUGGAUGAAGCAACGAAAUAGACAGAAAUAACUGAUCUGGUGAGUAACAUGGAAUUCAUAAAUGAUAUUGCAGAGAAAAGUAAAUUGCAGUUUGCAUGUAAUAGCAGCUAUUCAGAUGCUGUAUUGUGGCAAUCUUUAUACACACAAUGUGAAAUUGCCAAUAGUGAAAUUGACAAGAAAUUGUUUGUUAAUAAGAAAAAACAAAAGAUCCAAAAUUUUAUGAAACUUGUCUGUACUUACAAUGUAUUGAUUUGUAAACAAGAUGCAGGUCAAGAAAAUUUAGAAUCAGCAGAUAAAGAAGUAGAUUUGUAUGGGUUAACAGAAGACAAAUCAGAUUUAAAUGAACAGUGUAACAAAGUAACAGAGAGCACAUGCUGUAAAUAGUCAGAAACAGUCUGUGAACUAGAGGAUAGAGUUGAAUUAAUAAACAAUCUUUUUUGCCAGCUUAGAAAUGAAGUUAAGCAAAUGUGUGUUAAUACAAGAAAAAUACAGGCACAGAAUUUAAUCCCAGAACCAAUAGAUACUGAAAAUGUAUCCUCACAGAGUGAUUUGCAGAAAUGCAAAUUUCAAGACAGUGCUGCAAAACUUAAUUUGAAAAUACAUGAACAAUUAAUGAAAAUUGUGAAAUGUAUUCCAGUGUAUGACACGUCAGUGGAUGCAUUUACUAAUGCUGAAAUGUUUGAGUCAAAUUUGGAUAAAUACAGCCUAAAUGACGUUGCUUUAUUCUUAGAUAACUUGAGAGAAACCAAUAAUGAAGGGGUUAAAAUGACUUGUGGAAUUAGGCAGAGAAAGAAGUGAAGAUUUGACACCCCUCGUCCCCCUCCUCCUUUUUCUAGGACUCAAUGUAAAAGAGUGAUACAGACAGCUGAGCCACUCACAAAUUUUUUGUACUAGAAACUGCACAAUUAAUCAAAGGCAGAAUAUAACUCCUAAAGUUAUUUGUUUUUGGUGCAGUAAACAACAUUAUUUAAGGUCUUGCAGAUAUUUUAUCCGAUAUAUCAAAUCAAAAGCAAAUGAGAAAUUAAAUUUGUUGAUUGAAAAUUUUGACAGAGAAAAUACAUGUGGAGAUAAAUCAAUUAAAGCCUUUCCUUGUAAACUGAUAAUCAGACAAAUAAGAGCAAUUUUAGCUAAAUCGAAAUUAGGAGACAGACAAGCAAUGCAGUGUAACACAGAAAGUUAUAAGAAUCAGAUAACUUCAAGAGAUAUGAUCAGUUUAGGGAAUGAGCAUGGAUAUGUGUGCCAACAGAUGUACACAGGCUGAUUCCAGAAUUAAGAACAGCACACAAGAAAAGAGAUCUAUGUGAGUUUGUUGUUUUAAUGAAUUGUUAGUCUGAACUGUUUUUUCAUUGUUUUUAUGUGUGUUGUAAGAAAGUAUUAGGUUAAUUAAUUAAAAUAAAAAUUUACAUCAAGUUUGCAAAUAUGGCAGAAUGAAAUACACUAAUGAAGCAGUUAGGAACAUGCAAUGUAUGUUAUAUUGGGUGUAUGCGAUUAUACAGUAACUCAUUUUACAGAAGGAAAAAAAAAAAACAAUGAAUAUUCCUUGUUACUUCUGAGGUUAAUUUACAAUCUUUGAUUUAAUUCAUGAGAGUGAGAUUUUAAUAUCAUGACUGAUAAUGGAUUACUAUAUUUUGCAAAUCCUGGACAUACAUAUGUUUUGACUACAUAGAAGACAAAAGUUUUGAUAGAAUAAAACCUAGAUUUACAAAUACAUUUGAUGUAGGAAACAAUAGAUGUUUUUUUGUAGUUUGUUUCAUGUGACAAAAAUGGUGCCAGUGACAAGAUGGCUGCUAUUGCUAAACUAUAGUGGAAAACAAUAUUUUGUUGUAACAUCUGACAUGUGAUUAGGUUAUACCUCCAGAUUAUUAAACAGUUUAAAAGGGGGUAUGAUUAAUAAAAAGUUUGGAAAUUUAAAAUGUUCAGAAAGAUUUUAAUAUAAAGGAAAUUUAAAGAUUAUACAUCACAUGGCAUAAAUGUAAUGACCACUAGAUGGUAGAUCUCAUGAGAAGAAAUGAGAAUGUUGUGUAGUCAAUAAAAUUCAAUGUUAAACAUUGUAAGCCAUUGUAUUGAUGCUGCACAUGUUUUUUUGUUUUAAUGUAGGUAAAGCGUGACAGAUCCUUGUGGCAAAAAUCAGGAAAGCAUUCCUUCAGACAACUGGACAUCGACUGUUGGAAAGAGACUUUUCAUCUGAUCUGCAAACUGUGAUGGAAGAUUCUACGGAGUUCAUUCGAUACAGAAGAUUAACAGACUUACAAAGAAAUAAAAGAUUGACACUAACAUUCUUAUUAAUUCCUAAAUAUUAAUGGAAAAGAAAACAGACAAUGAAAAGUUAUAUAACAGUUUAUGAGUGUAUUAAAGGACCACUCUAGGCACCCAGACCACUUCAGCUUAAUGAAGUGGUCUGGGUGUCAGGUCCAGCUAGGGUUAACCCUUUUUUAAAUAAACAUAGCAGUUUCAGAGAAACUGCUAUGUUUAUAAAUGGGUUAAUCCAGCCUCCAAAUCCUCUAGUGGCUGUCACAUUGACAGCCGCUAGAGGCGUUUGCGUGCUUCUCACUGUGAAAAUCACGGUGAGAAGACGCCAGCGUCCAUAGGAAAGCAUUGUGAAUGCUUUCCUAUGAGACCGGCUGAAUGCGCGCGCAGCUGCGGCCGCGCAUGCGCAUUCAGCCGAAGGGGAGGAGAGAAGGAGGAGAGCUCCCGACCCGGCGCUGGAAAAAAGGUAAGUUUAACCCCUUUCCUUGCCAUCCAGCCCGGCGGGAGGGGGUGCCUGAGGGUGGGGGCACCCUCAGGGCACUAUAGUGCCUGGAAAACUAGUAUGUUUUCCUGGCACUAUAGUGGUCCUUUAAUAUCAAAAGAGAGUACUUCUAAAUGUGUAACACAUACAGUAAAAUUAUGAAGAGAACUAUUACAUUAUUACCUAUACAUAGGAUGAGAAGUAUCUGAAGUAGAUAAAAUAUUAAGUUGAUAAAAUAAGGAUCAUGUAUACUUAAUUCUACAAAGAUUGAGUUCAAUAGUAUUUCAUAGAUUCAUUAGAAUAAGUAAUUUGUUUAUAUCGAGGUGGAGUAAAACAAACAAUGGUAACAAAAGGAAGAAAACUAAGGAAGGAUAAUUUAUAUUGAUUAAUAUUAAGUAAUUGUAUACAUUAAGAAUGCCUUAGAUAUAAGAGUUCAGAGAUCCAAGAGGAAUUGAAUUGAAGGAGUAUAGUACACAAUUUUAUUUGACCUAAGUCUAUAAAAGGUAUGGACUAGGGAGAAUAGGUUUCUGGAUAUGAUGGUAUCCAAUGAAUUGAAUACGUUGUUAAGUUGUUUUAUGAUUUCCCUGAGUUUGUUAGACACAGACUAGGAAUAAGAGUUUCUGGGCAGUAUGACCCCAAGUUUUGUUUAUUUUAUUUUAGUCAGUUGAAGUGUACUAAGGAAUACGGAUUCGUCAGAACAUUAGGACAAUCCUGCUUUUAAGAUGUAUUACAUUAAUAAGCCAUCACAAUGCUAAUGAAGAGAGUGAUGCUAAUGAAUUUAAAGUAUUCUUUCCAAGUUCUUUUAAAGUAAACCAUUCUCAGAUUGAAUGAAAAGUUUGUUACUACAAGGUGGAAUUUUAGCCCAAAUCAUAAUUAUGUAAACAAAAACAAAUCUAUGAUAGAAAGAUUUCUGGGUGGAGAAUUUCUAGGACAAUAAGUAUUAUCAACACCAUGAACAUUAUUUGAAGAAUCAUUGUAGAACUGCAUGGUUGAUAACACAUCCUUUGAAUGAGUCUUAUAAGUAGUGUUGAUAUAUUUCAGGUAGUUAGAGCCUACUGAAUAUACAAAUUAAAUACUAUGAUUGUAAAAUACUGAUACAAUCAUCACUAGGUGGUAUUAAUGGUAUAGGAAGGUAAUUCAUGAAUACAAAUGACCUAAAGAUUUUAAGGUUGCUAGAAACCAUAUGAUUCAUGGAAAUAUAAUUGGACAGGAUAUUAUAGUAAUACAUGUAUUAGUACUUAAGUAAUAUCAGUUAUUGAGAAUUAAAAUACUGUGUUAUAUGUGUCUGUAGGAAUAUGAUAGUGAAACACAGUUAUUAUUAUUUAGAAAGUUGUCAUCUUGAUUUUGUUAUCUACAAAGAUAUGACUGUACCAGAGCAGGUAGAUCUUUCUGAUUGCUUUAUUGUUUAUUGGAUCAACAUUUGUAAAUAUUUUAUGCAUUUAUGAUUGUAAUAUGUAUAUAUUAUGUUCAAGUAGUUAAGAUGUAACAUGGAUAUAGCUGAAACAGAGGGAGUUUGAAGUAAAGUAAGCAGUAUGAGGGAUAGAAACUUGACCUUCUAAGAACUAAUAGAAAGUUGUGACUACAUCUUGUUCUAUGCUCAUUGACUGUGAUACAAGUGAUGUAUGAAUGGACAGGUUAGUGACAUUGUGUUAUGGUUUUAAAACAAACCAUAAACAGAGGGAAUGUAGAAUAUUGCAUAUUCUAUGUUUCUAUUGAUUAUAUAUGGAUGUGUGGAUUGACAUAAGUAACAGAUGGUAUAAGUCACAAGGCUUUCUUUGUCCGAGAGCUCUGGAAUGUGGAUGUGGGGGUUUUGUCCUUAUAUGGCUAGAGUUAAAUGCUGACGUUAGUAUUAGCACAUCUUUAUAGUAACAGAGGGACACGAGGUCUCUCUCGAUCUUGGCUCUGUGCUCUCUCUGGCUCUCUCUCGAUGUAAAGAUGUAAGAAUGUAAAGAAGUCCAGCAAUUACCAUCUGCUGUUGAAACAUUCAUUAUCCUGUAACAUCCUUUGUUGUUUUAUUAUGUAUCUGUAACUAAGAAUAAACCUGAAGAAACCGUAAGUCAGAUUGCGUAUUAGUACUUUUCAAUAAUAUAGACAUAUAUUAUUGUGGCGAGCAUUUGGCCCA